GUUGUGGCAGUCAACAUCUGGACAAGAACUAAAGGGACAAAAACACAGAUGGAUGAAAACACAAAACACUUCCUCUCUCAGUGGCAGAAACAUGUAACAGUAGCUGACGGUGCGUUCAGGUGCUGUCAGGUUAUUUCUUAUCUCCUUGUGUUAAAUGUGGGUCAGUGAUGUGAAAGCUGUCAGUUAAAGUGUGUCAGAGUGAGGGUUUGUUUGUGUUUCACAGGUGAAUAAUGAUGAAGAUGAAGAUGAUGGUG